UACCCCCUAGUGUAAUGGUAGCACUACAGAUUUUGGCUCUGUCGGUCGAGGUUCAAAUCCUCGGGGGGUAGCUA
rnacentral:tRNA from 2 species